rnacentral:rRNA from 1 species
CAAGCUUUUAAGAGCAGAUGGCGGAUGCCUUGCCAAAGAGAGGCGAUGAAGGACGUACUAGACUGCGAUAAGCUAUGCGGAGCUGUCAAGGAGCUUUGAUGCGUAGAUGUCCGAAUGGGGCAACCCAACUAAUAGAGAUAUUAGUUACUCUAAUUAUAGAGGGCGAACCUAGUGAAGUGAAACAUCUCAGUAACUAGAGGAAAAGAAAUCAACGAGAUUCCCUAAGUAGUGGCGAGCGAACGGGGAAAAGGGCAAACCGAGUGCUUGCAUUCGGGGUUGAGGACUGCAACAUCCAAGAGAACGCUUUAGCAGAGUUACCUGGAAAGGUAAGCCAUAGAAAGUGAUAGCCUUGUAUGCGACAAGGCGUUCUUAGGUAGCAGUAUCCAGAGUAGGCCAGGACACGAGAAAUCCAGGUUGAAGCCGGGGAGACCACUCUCCAACCCUAAAUACUACUCUUUGAGCGAUAGCGAACAAGUACCGUGAGGGAAAGGUGAAAAGAACCGCAGUGAGCGGAGUGAAAUAGAACCUGAAACCAUCUGCUUACAAUCAUUCAGAGCCCUAUGAUUUAUCAGGGUGAUGGACUGCCUUUUGCAUAAUGAUCCUGCGAGUUGUGGUAUCUGGCAAGGUUAAGCGAAUGCGAAGCCGUAGCGAAAGCGAGUCUUAAUAGGGCGCUUGAGUCAGAUGCUGCAGACCCGAAGCUAAGUGAUCUAUCCAUGGCCAAGUUGAAACGCGUGUAAUAGCGCGUGGAGGACUGAACUCGUACCCAUUGAAACGGGUUGGGAUGAGCUGUGGAUAGGGGUGAAAGGCCAAACAAACUUAGUGAUAGCUGGUUCUCUUCGAAAUAUAUUUAGGUAUAGCCUCAAGUGAUAAUAAAAGGGGGUAGAGCACUGAUUGGGCUAGGGCUGCUCGCCGCGGUACCAAACCCUAUCAAACUUCGAAUACCUUUUAUCGUAUCUUGGGAGUCAGGCGGUGGGUGAUAAAAUCAAUCGUCAAAAGGGGAACAACCCAGACUACCAAAUAAGGUCCCUAAGUUCUAUUCUGAGUGGAAAAAGAUGUGUGGCUACUCAAACAACCAGGAGGUUGGCUUAGAAGCAGCCAUCCUUUAAAGAAAGCGUAACAGCUCACUGGUCUAGUGGUCAUGCGCUGAAAAUAUAACGGGGCUAAGAUAGACACCGAAUUUGUAGAUUGUGUUAAACACAGUGGUAGAAGAGCGUUCAUACCAGCGUUGAAGGUAUACCGGUAAGGAGUGCUGGAGCGGUAUGAAGUGAGCAUGCAGGAAUGAGUAACGAUAAGAUAUAUGAGAAUUGUAUCCGCCGUAAAUCUAAGGUUUCCUACGCGAUGGUCGUCAUCGUAGGGUUAGUCGGGUCCUAAGCCGAGUCCGAAAGGGGUAGGUGAUGGCAAAUUGGUUAAUAUUCCAAUACCGACUUAUGGAGCGUGAUGGGGGGGACGCAUAGGGUUAAGCGAGCUAGCUGAUGGAAGCGCUAGUCUAAGGGCGUAGAUUGGAGGGAAGGCAAAUCCACCUCUGUAUUUGAAACCCAAACAGGCUCUUUGAGUCCUUUCAGGACAAGGGAGAAUCGCUGAUACCGUCGUGCCAAGAAAAGCCUCUAAGCAUAUCCAUAGUCGUCCGUACCGCAAACCGACACAGGUAGAUGAGAUGAGUAUUCUAAGGCGCGUGAAAGAACUCUGGUUAAGGAACUCUGCAAACUAGCACCGUAAGUUCGCGAUAAGGUGUGCCACAGCGAUGUGGUCUCAGCAAAGAGUCCCUCCCGACUGUUUACCAAAAACACAGCACUUUGCCAACUCGUAAGAGGAAGUAUAAGGUGUGACGCCUGCCCGGUGCUCGAAGGUUAAGAGGAUGCGUCAGUCGCAAAAGAUGAAGCGUUGAAUUGAAGCCCGAGUAAACGGCGGCCGUAACUAUAACGGUCCUAAGGUAGCGAAAUUCCUUGUCGGUUAAAUACCGACCUGCAUGAAUGGCGUAACGAGAUGGGAGCUGUCUCAACCAGAGAUUCAGUGAAAUUGUAGUGGAGGUGAAAAUUCCUCCUACCCGCGGCAAGACGGAAAGACCCCGUGGACCUUUACUACAACUUAGCACUGCUAAUGGGAAUAUCAUGCGCAGGAUAGGUGGAGGCUUUGAAGUAAGGGCUUUGGCUCUUAUGGAGCCAUCCUUGAGAUACCACCCUUGAUGUUUCUGUUAGCUAACUGGCCUGUGUUAUCCACAGGCAGGACAAUGCUUGGUGGGUAGUUUGACUGGGGCGGUCGCCUCCUAAAAAGUAACGGAGGCUUGCAAAGGUUGGCUCAUUGCGGUUGGAAAUCGCAAGUUGAGUGUAAUGGCACAAGCCAGCCUGACUGUAAGACAUACAAGUCAAGCAGAGACGAAAGUCGGUCAUAGUGAUCCGGUGGUUCUGUGUGGAAGGGCCAUCGCUCAAAGGAUAAAAGGUACCCCGGGGAUAACAGGCUGAUCUCCCCCAAGAGCUCACAUCGACGGGGAGGUUUGGCACCUCGAUGUCGGCUCAUCGCAUCCUGGGGCUGGAGCAGGUCCCAAGGGUAUGGCUGUUCGCCAUUUAAAGCGGUACGCGAGCUGGGUUCAGAACGUCGUGAGACAGUUCGGUCCCUAUCUGCCGUGGGCGUAGGAAAGUUGAGGAGAGCUGUCCCUAGUACGAGAGGACCGGGAUGGACGUGUCACUGGUGCACCAGUUGUUCUGCCAAGAGCAUCGCUGGGUAGCUACACACGGAUGUGAUAACUGCUGAAAGCAUCUAAGCAGGAAGCCAACUCCAAGAUAAACUUUCCCUGAAGCUCGCACAAAGACUAUGUGCUUGAUAGGGUAGAUGUGUAAGCGUAGUAAUGCGUUUAGCUGACUACUACUAAUAGAGCGUUUGGCUUGUUUU